CAGACCAUUUCUGUUAGUUGAGAUUUCAUUUACGCUGAAUUUUUUGUCGUGCAAUUCGGCAUGGUCUGA
rnacentral:tRNA from 1 species